rnacentral:tRNA from 1 species
GCGAUGGUAGUCUAGCCGGUAGGACACGACCUUGCCAAGGUUGAGACCCGGGUUCGAAUCCCGGCCGUCGCA